CCACACCAAUAGCCCGGCAGGAGAUGUGAGUAAUACAUGGCUGGUUCAGAGGGAGUGAGAUCAAAAGCGAGUAGAUACAAGAGGUUUGUGCUUCACCGACCAGACAGCAGAGGCUCAAUGAGACCUUUGUUGCCCAGGCCCGAGUCAGGGCUGAAGGAGUACCUGACCCCCGCGCCCAGCAGCCCCCACACCCACCACCCCUGGGCAGGGGGAGGGGCGUCGGGCCUGCCCCAGUGAGUAGAGUUGGGCACAGCUCAGACCAGGCUGGUGGGUGGGAAGAGGCAGGAGGGCCUGCCCUCGCUGGGCUGGGCGUGGAGCUUCUGGGGUAAGUGGAGGAGUGAGCGGCUGCCUGGAAAGCAGGAAAUGGCUCUGCGAGAACUGUGAGGGAGCCUUCGAGGGAGAGGGGCCUGGCUGGGCCCCCCAGAUCUCUGGUGAGCAGCCCCAGCCUGGCCCAGGGCAUGCCCCAGUUCACCUUCGCCUGCUUCUGCGGCCUCCACGGCUUCUGCAAGAUGAAGAGGAAGAAGGAGGAAGCUCACAGAGAGCGGGAAACGGCGGUGUGAGCAGAACCGGGCCGUUGCUCAGCCCCUAGCAGGUUCAGGCCUGAGGGCGCACUGCUGGCCGAGGCCUGGAGCAGGAAGUCUCCAUUGCACUGCUCUUCUCAGCUUGGCCUGACUCCAUCUACCCUGAGGGCUUCGGCCUCCUGCUGCCUGCCUGGGAGCUUCCCAUCCCCGAGACGUCCCUGGGGAGAGGCCCCGGCCACACCCACAGUGGGGCCAGCCAGGACCUGCGUUGGCCUCCCAGAGACCAAGAGGUCUGCGGAGGCCCCAGGAGUGACGCUUCUUUCCCGCCCGAGGUCAGGCCUCCAGGGACUCUGCUCAGGGUCUCCUCCCCUGAGGGCCUGCAGCCCUGGACCAGGACCCUGGCUGCUCUGCCGGAGGCCCUCCCCGCAGCCCUGCCCCUGGGGGGCCCUCAGGAAGGAGGGCGGGUGGAGGUGGAGAGGAGCCCCCUCCAGGCCCAGGAUCUGGAUGUAGCCUCUCCCGGGCCGGCCUGAGGCAGGAGCCUCUGCGGAGCAGCAGCAGCAUCCACAGGAAUGUGGCCGGAGAGAUGAGUCCUUUCCCGCCAGUGUCCUCCUGGGCCAGGUGGAGCCAGGCCUGAGGGGGCAGCCUGGUUGUGAGGGGAUGGCAGAGUGGGGCCACUGGGAGGCUGGGCAGACGUCCUCUGCCUCAGUCGGGCAGGCAGCUGGCUCUGUCUCCCUCUCCCCCACUCUCCCCACACGCCAGAAAGCACCCUUCCCUUGCACCCGGCCUCUCUGAGCCGCUCGCCUCCACCAUGCCUCCUUGGCAGCAGCACAGAUGUGGGGGGCCUUUCCCCAGGCCCUGGCUCCCCUCAGGGACGACUUCCUGCGCCAGACCGAGGGAGCCCUCUCCUGGACUGAGCCGUGCCCUCUCUUCCCUCCCCUGUCUCUCUGCCUCUUCCUUUCUCUUCUCAGAAGCCAUAGAGGGGGAAAUGCUUGCAUGUGGUGCCUUUAGGGGAAACUCUGGGGGGAGGGGUCCUCUAGGACUUUCCCUCUAAUCUCCCCACCCCACCAACCUUAGCAGUCAGUCUCUGCUCCCACUCCCACCCUAUUUCCAGGAGGUAAGAAGCAAAUGAAAACCAUUUCAUUCCUUCUUUCCUCGCUUCCCGCCCCGUCCCCCCAAUAUAACUUAGCCUCCAUCACUGUGCCGGGACCUCUCAGGUGCUAGAGGGUCCUGCGACAGCAAUAACAGAAGCAGAGACACUUUAGGCAGAUUCUGUGGCUUUAGCAAAUCUGCCCUCCUUCACCACAGGAACGUUCAGCCCAGGAACUGAGUCAGACCCCCUCUGGCAGCCAGGAACAGGAUAGCCUUUGACAGAUAGCAAGCAAUCUGGGCAGAGGAGGCCAGGCCCCAGGACAGAAGGAGGGGCUGUGCACUCCUCUCCUUGCAAGGUGGGCCUCUCUGGGCAGUUAGGGAGGGCAGGAGGCCUCCUCCACUGGUUCCUCCGCAGCCUGGGAGAAGCAAGGGCACAUCCUACCUUGGCAGCCUUUGCCUGUCCAGCUCACACCCUGUGCUCAGGGGCAUUGCCUGGGCUUCUGGCAGAUUUGGUGGGAUCCGGGUCAUCUUGGUGAGGCCAGAGCCUAGCCAAAGAUUUCUCUCCUCCCACCCCCUCCUUUGCCCCUACUGCCCAGCCCCAGCCUUCUUCAAUCUGUUACUUCCUUUUAUAUCCAAAGAAUUAUAAACAGAAGUCCUUCCCUCAAGGAAGCAGCAAGAAAGGCCAGUGGAGUCACAAGGGACAGAAGAAAAACUCCCUGGUUCUUUGGCCUUUGGACUGUAGAGGCCUCGGGUGAGGUGGAGAUGGGCAGGAAAUCUUUCGGGGGCACCUCGAUACAGAGGCCGGAGAGCCCGCCUGUGGGCAUGCGUGUCCCUGGCCUGGCCUGCGGGGCUGCAGCCCUGGAGACAGCACUGCGGAGGCGGAGGAGGAAACUGUAUCCCCGAGAGUCAGCGGUGUUGGGUGUUCUGUCCUGACCACAUGGGCUCACCCGGAGGAAAGGUCAGGAGAACGGAGAACACAUGCGGGAGCGGGUGGCAAACAGGAGCUGCCCCUGCACGCCUCCCAGGCCUUGGCAGAGCCAUCAGCGCAGGGUUGGCAGCAAGCCUGCUCAGAGAGCUCCUGCCCCCGGAGGGCUCCCUUGGCUCCACAGGGACACUGGAUAUCUUGAGCCCUUGCUGUGGGAACAUCGGAGAGGUCCCAAGGUCAAGGUAUUUCUGAGUGUAGGCCCAGCUGGUGCCUGCAGACAGCUGUCCUUGGCCUCGAAGCCAGCGGUCCGUUCAUCCAGGACAAAGGUUGGGGCCAACACUGAGGCUGAACUGGCCAGAGUAGGAGGCAGCAGCAGCUUUGAGCCAGACACAUCCCACAUCUGUUGUCCCUGUUUCCUUCUCAGGGACGUGGGGACUCAGCUGCUCUCAGCACCGCGGAAGGCAGUCUGCAGACCUGUUCCCCCUCCGCCCCCGGGUGAGCCCAGGGAGAGGUCUAAACCAAAAAGACAGAAGCAGCCCCAGUGCCCACGCCCUUGCACCCCAGGCCUCAGAGUUCCAGGCAGGUUUCUCUUCCUCCUGCUCCUUUGGGGCGUGGGGGUCAGGCCACCUUGUUUCUUGCCCUGCCCUGAGUCUCACCCCUUCCCAGAGAUCAGGUUGUAUAAUUUUGCCCCCCUGUUUCUAAUCCCCUUCACUCCACAGUUCUCUCUACGUUGAAGUGGGGGCUGGGAGCUCCUGGGGUGGGGCAGGGGCCACAAGUAGAUAAUUCUGAGGGGGGGUUGGGCCUCUUGUUCUUGGUGCGUGGCACUGAGUCCUCCUUGUGGAAGGGCGGGAGGCCUUAGCUUCUCUGGGCCUCAGUUUCCCCAUCUAUAAAAUGGCCCAUUACUCCUCUUGUGACUGGAGUACUGUCUGGGACCCUGGCCCAGGGGACCCCGAGGGAUGUCUUGUCUCAGGUUGAAGUCUUUUUUUAUUAGAAUGUAAUUUCCUUCUCCAUUCCCAGGGAAGCAGUUUUUGAAUGUAGCAUGUGGGUCAAUAGAAAUAUAUAGAGAGGAGGCCAGUCCCGUGGCCGAGUGAUUACACUCAUGUGCUCCACUUCGCCAGCCCAGGGUUCACAGGUUCAGAUCCUGGGCACGGACCUACACACUGCUCAUCAGGCCAUGCUGUGACAGCAUCCCGCAUAAAAGAACUAGAAUGACUUACAAGUAGCAUACACAGCUAUACACUGGGGCUUUGAGGAGAAAAAAAGAAAAAAUAGAUUAUUUUUGGAAAAAAAGCAAUAAUUUAACUAACUGAAAUAUGCAUGAGGUAGCACGUGGGCUGCAAAGAGCAUUGAGCUGGGAACCAGGUCUCCUUGGUUCUACCCUGCUUGGACACUGAUGACGGAGUGACCUUAGGCUAAUCACGUCCUCUCUCUGGGACUUGUUUCCUCAGCUAUAAAGAGGGGAUUGCACUAACGUCCUCUAAGUCCCCCUCAGAGUCCAGGGCUCUGUGGUCUGGGAAGUGGAGCUCAAGCCACAGAACCAGGGGGCUUGCAGGUUUCCUGUGCCCCAGUGCUGUGCUCCUUGCAUGCAGCAAAUGUGUGGGGAGGGUGGGUGGGUAGAUAUGGUAGAUCUAAGAAAUGGUGGGAGUGAGAGGGAAAGCCAGGCACUGAGAGUUUCUCCUGCUAGAAUCCUCCCCGAGCACUCCUGCCCAGGGAGCCAGGACUACUUGCAGCUCUGCCUCCUGCAGCCAGGCCCAAGAGGAGUGAGUGUCUCCAGGCUCGCACAGGUGCCACUUUUGUGCACACGCUCUUACACACACAGACACCCCUCCUUGCAGAUGGGAUUUCAAGGACCGGCUCCUGCCCCAGUUAUGUAACCCACAGGCUUCCCUCUGCACAGCUGCUGGUGAGUCCAUCUCCAAGCUGACGGACACACCCCACCUCAUCGCCUUGCCUUCUGCAAGGGAAGUGCCUCAGGCUGCACUCUGCUCUGCCUACAGACUGAAUGUGCAUUUUGCCCAGUGCUCUGGGGUGUGCUGCUGGUAGGAUGGGCCGACGACUAUCUUUGGAUGGACAGCGGCAGCCACCAGUUUCCCAGCGCUCCGCCAUGGCUGACUCCUGACCUCGGCAACUUGCUUCCUCCCUCCCAGCCUCUAUAAAAGAGGGUAAGACCCAUUUCUUCCCUACCUCACAAGAAGGCGUGCAAUGCAAGGGCAUGUUGUAUCAGAUGUGCCCAGGUGCAGCUUGAGCUUUUGGAGACAGACACUCAAUUCGCAACCAUGGAGAUGGACUUUGACCAGAGAAGGAAACCUCUGGCUGCUGUGUUUGGUGGGCUCCCUGCAGGCUGGUCCGGAAAGCCUGGCGUUCACCCUGAAGGUGGCUGCUGUAUUCAACAUGUGAUGGGGCUGACAUCAGCGCCAGAACCAAGAACCAGAAUCUGUUCCCAAAGAAUGAACGCUUUAUCCCGCUGACACAAUAAGCAACAGCAGGAGAUAGCCAUCACCACCAUCUCCCUGUUCCCAAUACCAACGGCUUCUUAAGGCCAUGUUAUGUUGCUAAAGAAUCUAGGAGCAGGGCGUUUGGCUUCUCAGAGGAAUCCCCUACCUCCCAGGCCAUACCCGCAGGUCAGUGCCUACUGUAUCAGGCGGUUGUGGCCAGUCCUGCCUGGGCUCCCUUCUCUAAAUUCCUGUGGGAUCAGCACCACAGACCAUGAAGAGGAAACAGAAACCUUGGCUGUUCACAGGGGAGCCCAGGAGGUCAGGACCCUCCACCAGGAGGGUGAGAUGUGGGGGUGAUGCAGGGCCUCCCUGGAGGACCUGGUUAUACUGAGGAAGAGGUUCCAAAAGCAAGGAGCCCACAAAAUUGGGCAGCUCGGGCUCUGGCAGGAACCCCAGGCUCUGGAGUUCAAGGGUUUCCUAGUGGGCUGCUGGUCUAUCUCCCUUCCUUUGGGCAGCCUGCCCUCCUCCUCAGCUCAUCCCUGUGUUCCAUCCGAGAGGCAGGGGGAAGGCUGGAGGGGGAGAUGGCAGGACCCAGACGAGAUCCUCAGGACUCUCCCAGCCGUCGUUGCCAUGGCAAUGCUGCUAUUUUUAUCCCGUUCAUGAUGCUCAAAGCUCUGACUUUCUCUGUUCCAGAGAGGCCAGGCUGGCUUCUGCCCUCAUCCUUCAAUGCAGCGCCUUCUCCUAGAGGCCUGAGAAGGGAAAAGUGAUGGAGAAAGGGGAAUCCACUGGGUCCCCCUCAACCAAGGAAGCUGUUUGACAGUGGUUUGCCCUGCACUCUUGAGCCUUGGGUUUUCCAGCUGGCUUAGGUGCCCAGUUUCACAUCUUCAGGGAGAUCAGAACUCCCCAAGGUCUCCCCGAGAGGCUGCUCCAGAGAAAAAGAAAGAGCUGCCACGUGAGACGAGUUUUUCCCACACAGCUAGGACCUGAGGGGCUGCUGUCCUUGAGAAAACCAGACCCGGUUCUGAAGAACGUCCUAGUGGUACAAGCCAACCACUGGCCCCUUGAAAGGGAAUGGAGAGCUAAGUUUGGUUAAUUAGCAACAGGUACACUUACCAUCGCUGGAGAAUCUGAACUACUGCUUCCCUUUCCUCCACCCUCCACCAAAGAACUGGGGCAACUGGCUUCCUGUCUUUGUCUAGCCUUCAUGCCCAAAGCAAGUUAGCAUAUAUUCUCCAGGCUGGAAAGCAGACUCCUGGGUUCCUCUCCUUCCCUCCCCCCUGCCAAACAGCCAUGUUUCUCUCCAGGGCCUUGAGGUCUUAGAUUUUAAUGACGCUCUCUUUUUUUUCCAAAGCCCCCCAGUACACAGUUGUAUAUUUUAGUUGUGAGUGCCUCUGGUUGUGUUAAUGACGCUCUUGAAGGCAGGGUUCAAUGAAAGGAUUUCUUAGAGCUGUUCAUUCUCUGUCCCUUCUCCCUAGCCCAGCCUCUGGUCCUCUCCCUAUAUCCCCACCUCCACCCCAGUGGCAAGGUACCCCUGAGCGUCUACGGUGCUAACGUUCCCCAACUGUAUGUUCUGAUGGUCAGGGAGAUUUGAAUCCAGCAGCUGGGGUGGUUGGAUUGGGGGAGAGCAUUUCAUGCACGUCCUCGAGACCAUAAUCCUGGAUGGGUUUCGGUCUUAACCUAGUGAAGUAGCAAUCAUAUUGUGCUGACCUCCUGCAUUGAGGUUCCACUUCAGCCGAUCUGACUCCUGGAUGGGUAAUUUUUCUAGGGUGGCUGGGAUGCAUUUACUAAGCCUCUAAUUGGUUUCAGUUUGGCUCAAGUUGCAUGGUUUCCUGAAUCUGUGCACCUGGAGUAAGCACUUCUCUGGAUGCCUCUGAAAAGCAUGCCUGCAAAUGCUGCUCUGUUAAUUGCUGCAAUAAACAGACUUUACUAUA